UAGUCAUAUGCUUGUCUCAGAGAUUAAGCCAUGCAUGUCUCAGUGUAAACUUUUAAACAGUGAAACUGCGAAUGGCUCAUUAAAACAGUUAUAGUUUAUUUGAUAAUCAUUUUUACAUGGAUAACCGUGGGAAUUCUAGGGCUAAUACAUGCGUAAACCCGCAAGGGUGUGUUUAUUAGAUUACAACCAUCUCAGUGGCAACACUGGUGAAUUGGAAUGAUAAUAACCGAUCGAAUCGCACGCUUAAUGUGGCGAUAAAUCAUUCAAGUUUCUGAC
rnacentral:rRNA from 1 species